rnacentral:lncRNA from 1 species
AGAAAUUUACUGGUGUGUGGAGGGUUUACUGACCCACACGACCUUUUUAAAUCCGUUUGUGACAAAGUUGAUCAAACAUUUACAAGCAAUCCUACGACUCGAAAGAGUAUAGAACUUCCUACUUAUAGUCUAUUAGAUGAAAAGACAAAUUAAAAUAUCUUAAAUCUUGACCUAAACAUUGAAUUACGAGUAACUUAUUCUUUAAUAAUUCAGUUUUAG